GCCCCAAUAGAGCCCCAGUUUCUUAAGUCAUUGAAAAUAGGCUACAAUUCGAGGCUUCCUAAACCGUUAAUCCGAGUUCGAGUCUCGGUGGGGGCACCA
rnacentral:tRNA from 1 species